rnacentral:misc_RNA from 1 species
GUUUGGAAUUUGAUUCUGCAAGGUGUAUGACAAGACUCAAGCAAACUUUAUAGUUAAACUUUAACUUCCAAAUCUAGCUCUAUAUCAAAUUGUUGGCAUGCAAUGAAAAUACACUCGAAUCUUUAGAACUCAUGCAUGCAUUAUGAAACUAUUGAAGCAUUGUGGUUGAUCUUGUGGAGGAUGGAAAUGAGCUUAGCACUCGUCAAAGGCUUCUCUUGGUAAUCAUCCAAACCAGCUUCCAUAAAUUCUUGCACUCGUUCUUCCAUGGAACGCGUAGAUACACCAGCAAUGGUGCUACGUAUGCCCAUGGCACGCAGUUGCUUGGUUGCCUCAAUGCCAUUCAUGAUAGGCAUAUCCAUGUCCAUGAGAAUGAGGUCAAAAUUUCUGCCAGAGGAAUGGAUAUCAAUAGCUUCCUUUCCAUUUCUCACCUCCUGAUUUUCUAUGCCAAGAUUUUGCAACAGCCUCCUGUGAAUGGUUCGAUUGGUGGUGUCAUCAUCUACCACUAAUGCUGUUAUUUUUGCUUGAAAUUUCUGAUUCCCAUUUACCAUUUUUCUCUUAUUCCUACCUGCAGCUGCUUCAAGCUCCAUGCAUGAAUUAAUU